rnacentral:tRNA from 1 species
GGGUGCAUAGCUCAGUUGGUAGAGCAACGGCCUUUUAAGCCGUGGGUCGCAGGUUCGAUUCCUGCUGCACUCA